UACGUAGGUGGCAAGCGUUGUCCGGAUUUACUGGGCGUAAAGGGCGUGCAGGCGGUCUGUUAAGUGCAGGGUGAAAGCUCCCGGCUCAACUGGGAGAGGUCCUUGCAUACUGGCGGACUUGAGGGGGGUAGAGGAAAGUGGAAUUCCCGGUGUGGUGGUGAUAUGCGUAGAUAUCGGGAGGAACACCUGUGGCGAAGGCGGCUUUCUGGGCCCUACCUGACGCUGAGACGCGAAAGCGUGGGGAGCGAACCGG
rnacentral:rRNA from 1 species